rnacentral:lncRNA from 1 species
GGAAGCCAAGUGGAAGUCAGCCUGCCACAGAGGAAGACAGAAAACCUCCCUUCGGAGGAAAACCCCAGAUAGAGUAGGGGAGUGAGGGCAGGAGCCCUGAGGAAGAUGUUACUAUGACAGAGGCCCUGGACGCUACCUCCCUGCCACGCCACUGAGGGGGGUACAGGAACAAGUCCUGAACUCAGUGCCCAGCCCUCAGCCCUGCUUCAGCACUUCACUGUGCCACUCCAGGGUUGUGUCACUAUCCCGAGUUCUCGCGGGCCAGAAGCCGACCUGCCUACCUGACAAUGAUGAGGCUGCCACCUUCUCCAAGGGACAGCAUGGACUUCUGGCUCCCCAACCAGAAUACAGAGGCCUUGCUGCCUGCCUCUGAGAAGACACCUUCCUGUCUAGGGCACACAGCGCCUGCUACCGGUUUAAGGCCAACAGCUGAGUGAAAACUCUCUACCCUGAAGGCCUAAGGCCCCAGCAGCCAACAUCUCCCUAAAGGGACCUGACAUCCUGCUCAGAGAGCUCCCAGCUCCCAUCUACAGGAUGGACAACAAGCUCCCCGUCCUGUCUAUUGAUAGAGUUCUCAGAGAAUGAUAUUGGACCUGUUCAUCUCCACUGCCAACACUGCUCCGCUCUGGGGCUGGCAUAGAACAAGCCCCAGAACUCAUUUGAUUAACAAAAAAUGUAACUGAAAAUGGCCCUUUCCCACGAUGCCCCACCCAACUCAUACCUGGAGCACAUCCAGUUCUCAAGACAUUGGGACUGCCUCUGUUGCAUGGGUGAAGAAACUCUCAUCUCUUCCCUCAUUUGGCCAAGGUCAUAAAGCCAGAUUCAAACACAAGAGUUUGAAUAUUAAAAUCUUGUUGUUUGGGCGCCUGGAUGGCUCAGUUGGUCGAGCGACUGCCUUUGGCUCAGGUCAUGAUCCUGGAGUUCCGGGAUCAAGUCCCGCAUCGGGCUCCCUGCUCAGCAGGGAGUCUGCUUCUCCCUCUGACCCUCCCCCCUCUCAUGUGCUCUCUCUCUCUCAUUCUCUCUCUCAAAUAAAAUCUUAAAAAAAAAUCUUGUUGUUUUCCUUCAUUGGUAAUGACAAAUGCAAGGCAUGCAUGAUCCCAUUCCCAACUCAUGUUCCUAAAAAUAUUGAUCCAGACCAAGGAUUGGCAAACUAUGGCCCAUGGGAGAGAUCCAGCCUGCCACCUGUUUUUGUAAAUAAAGUUUUAUUGGAAUGCAGCCAUGCCUGUUCAUUU